GCUGAGGAAGAGGGAAGCCCGGCGAGCGACAGGCCAGGCCUGCUCCCGUUAUACCCGGAGGCCUUCCGGCGGGAAUGCCCUUCCGAACUUGCUCCACGCGGGUGCUUCCCCUAAACCCAUCGCCGGCGACGGAAGAGAACCCAACGUUCCCUUCUAGUAGCCGUAAGAGAAGCCCUCCAGCGUCUAAAUGGGCCGGCCCAUUACACCGAGAUUCAAACCUUUUAUCGCGGUCUAACGUUCCACGUGGCCCAAUGAAAUGGAUCCACGUUAAAAGCCGAACCAUUUGAUUCAUAAAAAUGCCUCGUAGUCUCCCGGCCCCCUCUUUUAUUUCGUCUGCCGCAGCAAUGCAGAGGGUCGGGGAGGGCGGCGGCGGGGGCGGCGGCGGAGGAGGAGAGGAAGAAGACGAGCGCCGGACGGCUGCCAGUUCGUCGGAGACGGCGAGAUCGGGAGAGAUCUGCGCCGAGUGUUACCAGAUCGGCGGUGUCCUCGUCGCCUCGCGUCUCCGAGCCUCGGUCGUAAGGAGAUCUCCCUCGUCUUCUUCCGUUUCUGCGAUCGGCUCCCCUUUUCCUCCGGCAUAUACGAUCUCUGUUCUCAGAGGUUUCCUCGUUUCAUUCGCGUGCAAGCGUUCUAGCUGUCUGAGGAGAAAUCAGGAGCAUCGAAUUUUUUCUUGAGGAGAAAUUCAUUGAAAAAUACGAGUUUAUUGAACGGAAAAUGCUCACGAACAGCGAGGUCGCAUAGCGGAGUGGAUAUCGCAUUAGACUCCGGAUCUAAAGGUCGUGGGUUCGAAUCCCACUGCGAUCGGAUGCUCUUUUAGGACCACCGAUGGAUUCCUCUCAUGCGAGCUCGCUAGGUUUUCCUUGAGAUCUACGGAACACGCAGGUCGUCGUGUUGAUUCCUGAUCCGCAAGCGUAGAAUUUGCCUGGAAUGGAUCUUCUUCCUUGUGGACUCUAGUUUAGGUUUUUGGUCGUUUUCAUGAUCAAAGUCUACUCGUGAAGUAGCUCUCUGGAUGGAACACGGCUGUUGAUGAAAGAACAACAGUAGAACUAGAAUGAUCCACAUUGAUCCAAAUAAUCUCAGGGGAGCUCAGUCAAGUUGAUCUACGCCACAUAUACCUUCAAUGUCUACUUUCAGAGAGAGAGAGGGAGAGAGAGAGCCACAUCCCUUCACUCACUUGAUUGACUUGAUCUGCAGCUGGGUUGACUUGCAAAGAGUCAAUGCGGGUGUUGGAUGGAACUCCCCACACGGAUUCAACUGUUCCUCCUGCUGCAGCUCUCUCUCUCUCUCUCUCUCUCUGAUCGGGCCCGAAAAAAUCGGACUCAUAGUGGAGAAAAUUUUCUGAGAGAAGGGAUAAAAAUCACGAACAUCUAUGAACAACUCACACCAGGCUGGCCAACGGUAGCUCGCGAAGAAUGGAUGAUGAGCCAUGGGCGGCGCACCUGCACCGGCGAAGCACACGUGGCCGACCCGCCACGUGUCCCUCCCUCCCCAACCCCCCGU
rnacentral:lncRNA from 1 species